rnacentral:rRNA from 1 species
GUAUAGAGAGCGAAUUCUGCCCAAUGGUUGUAAAGUGAAACUAAGGACUAACGUCUAAAGCGAAACCCAACUGAAUGGCCGCGGUAACUCUGACCGUGAUAAUGUAGCACAAUAAAUAGCCAAUUAAUUGUUGGCGGGUAUGAAUGGAACCACGAGGAUCUUACUGUCUCAAGAGAAAAGCCAAUGAAAUUAUAGAUGUAGUGAAGAUACUACAUAAACAUUGUAAGACGAAAAGACCCUAUCAAGCUUUACUGGAUGUCGAUGGCGUUAACUUAAACAGUUAAUACUAAAGUAUUAACUGCUUAAAAUUAAUAUUUAUUAUUGGUAAGACAGUUUAGUUGGGGCGACUACCUUUGAAUAAGAAACGAAGGCGAGCUUAUGGUAUCAAAUUAAUCUCAUUAGCCUGACAGUGAGGGGGACACCCCUAGCUGGCACAAGGACAAUGUCCUAUGUGGGCGAUAAUGACCCGAUAUCAUCCAAGAUAGAUAUCGAAAGCGGAUAAAAGCUACUGUAGGGAUAACAGCGUAAUAUUGUCGGAGAGUUCUUAUCGAGGACAGUGUUUGCGACCUCGAUGUUGAAUUGCGGUGCCCUGGUGCUGCAGAAGGCACCUUAGGUUGGUC